rnacentral:ribozyme from 3 species
GCAGAUGGGCCGGAGAAAUCCGGUUAAUGCCGAUACCGUAAGGUAUGCAGUCCAAACGCUGC